rnacentral:lncRNA from 1 species
AGGACUUCCGGUGGCUUCCAAGGCGACUCCGUAGUGGAUGCAGCGCCGGACGCCACAGCCGAAAAACAGAAUCUUGGAACUGGUUUAGUACAAUCCAGCCAACGAGUGGAUAAAGAAAAUGUGAUAUAUAUGCACUAUGGAAUACUAAGCCAUAAGAAGGAAUGAAAUAAUGGCAUUUGCAGCAACCUAGAUGGAGUUGGAGACCAUUAUUCUAAGUGAAGUAACUCAAGAAUGGAAAACCAAAUAUUGUAUGUUCUCACUCGUAAGUGGGAGCUAAGCUGCGAAGAUGCAAAGGCAUAAGAAUGAUAUAGUGGACUUUGAGGACUCAAGGGUUGAAGGAUGAGACUACACAUUGGGUACAGUGUGCACUGCUUGGGUGAUGAGUGCACCAAAAUCUCAGAACUCACCACUGAAGAACUUCCCCAUGUAACCAAAAACCACCUGUUCCACAGAAACUAUCGAAAUAACAUUUUUAAAACUUUACUAUUUCUGAAUAAAAUUUACAUACAUUUCUCAGAAAAAAAAAUAUUUGGAAUUGAGGUAUCUAAUAGAGAACUGAGUUAAAUUAUUGCCACUUAAAAACACAAAGUGAUAUAGCCACUUUAUGAAUUAAUCAGUCAGCAGUGGCUAGGUUAUGCUUAGUGGUUUAUAACCAAAUCUUAGUUUAUAACAACAAAUGUGUAUUGUUAAUUCCCACUACAAGUUUAUAACGACAUUGCUGGAUGCUACACUCCAUGUCUCUUUGUGGGACCCAGGCUCAUGGGACUUCUGUUACCUGCAUUAGAGAGAGAGAAGACAACAAAAUAUGCACUGGUUCUUGAAGCUUUGGCCCAGAAGUAAAAUAUGUCUUUUACCUGUUCACAUUGCAUUGGGCCAGGGCAAUUAUCAUGGCUGCAAGUAACUUCAAAAGGAUGGGGAAGUGCGAUCUUGGCAUGUGUCAGAAGAAAUGAAAACAUUUGGUGAAGAGCAUUAAUGACUGUCUUUACAGGAAAAAAGCAAUCAAAUAGACAUGAUUGCUUGUUUCAGUUUCAUCAUUUCCUACUGUGUUACCUAAACUUUCUGAGCCCCAGUUUCUUAUUACUAAAAUAAAAUAAAGAUGAUAUUCACUUCAAGGACUUUGUGUUAACUAGGGUAAAAAAAUUGAAAACUAGUAAGUUAUGCAAAUUAGAAAUGUAUAAUAUUACUGCUUUGAAAGUGAUGGUGAAAUGUAGAAUAAUUGGAAGGAUAACACAAAGCACUUAUACCAGGAGGCUUUUAGCUGCAGAUAAUAGAAAUGAACCUCCACUACUUUAAUCAAUAAAAAAGUGUAUCAGCUCACAAAUUUGUCAUCCAGACAUAAAGGAGGCUUCAGAAUUUAUUGACUCAGGAGUUGAAUGUUGGUAUCAAGGACCUAGAUUUUUCUCAUCACUCUGCACUUCAAUUCUCAAUGCCCUAUUGAACAUCAGGCUGUAGUAAGAUGGCUAGAGUGAUUCCAGGGAUAACAUCUAGAGAUAAAAAAGAGAACUCCUUUUCUUAUGAUUUUUUUCUUAAGAGAAAAGGAAUUUCCCAAAAGCCCCCAGCAAGCAUGCCUUCACAUCCCAUGGCCAGAAGUGGCUCACAUGUGUACCCUGAGCUAAGCACUGCAGACAGGAAUGGAAUCGCCUGUAGGCCUCAGAGACCACCUGGAUCUUGGGAAGGUGUCAGCUCUACCUGUGGCACUUGGCUGAGUGGGAAAGGGAUGGAAACAUGAAUAAAGUAAGAAUUAGGAAGGAAAAGGAGAAAUGGAUCCAGGGUAUGAAGCCAAUAGUUUAGUUAUCUCAACAAAUAUGAUUGAUUUCAUCUUUAUGAAUGUGAUGACCUAAUUUAAUACAUUCAAUCAAUGAAGUAAAAAAAAGUGCAAGGACAAUAUGACAUCUGUCAUUCUCUGUUGAGAUUUGAGAGGUAAUAAUACCAAGAACGUGUGGUGACCUGGGUCCUCACUGCUACUGUCUUCCUGUACCUGGACACUUCUAGCAAGAGACUUCAACUUCAGAACAAAGAGGAUCCCAACUUGUAGCUGCAUUAUACACACCCCAGCAGCACACAUAAGUUGAUUUCUAAUUAUUCCUCUUUAAGAAAUUGUUUGUGGAAUAUUUAUCUAUUUAUAAAUGGAAAAAUAGAAAAUUAAAAUAACAAAAAUAAGUAACACCAUGUAUUGAGUGUCUACUGCGUGCUAGGCACUG